rnacentral:lncRNA from 1 species
CGACGUAGACACGGAACGCUGUUACCUUCCCACCGAGGUGGUCCCUAUUGAUCUACUUGCAUUUCCCCCUACACACACACACAGUGGACUUUUGUGGUUGCCUGGCGUGAGUAGAAAAUGUCCCCAGGCGACCACAUUCCGGGCAAGUAAUCUUGACAAGCAGUUGGGUGUAUUUUCUAAUUUUUGGCUCAGAACUGGCUGCCAGAAUCCCUUGUGGGAUUAUAGUAAGAACUAAAUUUUGGAGGCUUAAAAUAAGGCUGCUUUCACAUCCAAGGAGACUUGUACAAUGAGGUGCUCAUAAUAAUAAACUGAAAAAUGAACCUCAUUCUGCUCGGCCUUCAGUUGACAAAAGUAAAGACGAGAGAAGCCUGGGAGCUACUGAAGCUGAAAAGAAGGAUGUGAAAGAGCAGUACCUUAAGAAGGCCAAGAGAAGGGAGGAAAUAAUAGCCUUAUUGAGGAAACAACGGGCAGAGAGGAUUCUGAAAGAGUCCUUUUCAAAUAUGCACAAGUCGAAGAGCAAAAUUCAGGAAAGCAAGAUACAGAUACCAGAAUCGGACUUUGAGGAUAAAGAAAGUGUGAAGGCACUCAAUUGAGCAUUUUGAUCAGUGCAAAACAACAGGAGAAACUCUUACCCUGUCCUUCAUUGGUUUCCACUCUGUGAUCUUCAGACGCAGACCCCCUGCGGCUUUCCCUGUCUCACUUUCUCCUUCGAGAGCAAGACGCUGCAUGCUGGUAAAAAGCCUAGUGGACUUUUCAGUUUGGCUGUUAAAUUUCUUGGUCUGCCAUGGGUACCAUAAAAGGCAUUGUAAGAAGUGUUAAAUGCAAUAAACCGGUUUUGAAACAAAAGCCUGCGUUAUGG